rnacentral:lncRNA from 1 species
AAUUGUUCAGCUGAAUUGAGCUGAAUUGCCCAGAAGUUGUUAAGAGACUCAACCCUACAGCUGAAGGGAGAAAUACAAAAAAAAAAGAAAUCACUGGAAGCAUCAAGGUCACUAGAGACCCCUUCAUCCCACAACACAUCAUCAUUGAUGAUGAUUCUUGGGAAGUAUGGGAUUUCACCAAAAAUACAAGAAGACCCCAAUGGUGGGUGUGUGAAUUUGUCCAGAACUCUGGAUCUACUGUAGAAAAAAAUAUUCUCCAGCUACUCAGAUUGUCAUGAAUGGGUAAGUUAUUUGAUUAUGGACUUUUGCUCCAGAAAGUUUGGAAAUUUGCAAUCAUUGCCAUAGGAGAGAGCUUUCUUCUAGUUCAGAUUGUCCCUGGUCACAUACAAGUAAACUAUGAGUGAGCAGGAGAUGUAAACAAAGUAAAAGGACAGGGGCUGGAGAGGUAGUGCAUAGAGCACUGGACCUGGAGUCAAGAAGAACCAAGUUCAAACAGUACCUCAGAUACUUUGCUAGACAGGUGUCCCUGGGCAAGUCAUUCAACCUCUGUCUGCCUCAGUGCACUCAUAUGUAAAAUGGGGGUGAUAAUGGCACCUACCUGCAGGGUUGUGGUGAGAUAAAAUUAUAUAAUAUUUCUAAGGCACCUGGCAUAUAAUAAAUGCUAUAAAAAUUGCUUGCUCCCUUCUCCA